AUUGAACGCUGGCGGCAUGCCUUACUCAUGCAAGUCGAACGGCAGCACGGGAGCAAUCCUGGUGGCGAGUGGCGAACGGGUGAGUAAGGUAUCGGAACGUGCCCAGUCGUGGAGGAUAACGUAGCGAGAGUUACGCUAAUACCGCAUACGAUCUAUGGAUCAAAUCGGGGGAUCGCAAGACCUUGCGCGAUUGGCGCGGCAGAUAUCAGAUUAGGUAGUUGGUGGGGUAAAGGCUCACCAAGCCGACUAUCUGUAGCUGGUCUGAGAGGACGACCAGCCACACUGGGACUGAGACACGGCCCAGACUCCUACGGGAGGCAGCAGUGGGGAAUUUUGGACAAUGGGCGAAAGCCUGAUCCAGCCAUGCCGCGUGCAGGAUGAAGGCCUUCGGGUUGUAAACUGCUUUUGUACGGAACGAAAAGGUUUGGCCUAAUAAGCUGAGCUCAUGACGGUACCGUAAGAAUAAGCACCGGCUAACUACGUGCCAGCCGCCGCAGUAA
rnacentral:rRNA from 1 species